CACCGCGGUUAUACGAGUAGGCCCAAGUUGAUAAAUGCCGGCGUAAAGCGUGGUUAGGGAAAGACCCAAACUAAAGUCGAACACCCUCAGGGCUGUUAUACGCAUCCGAGGGUAUGAAGAACCACCACGAAAGUGACUUUAUUAACCCCGAACCCACGAAAGCUAAGACA
rnacentral:rRNA from 1 species